AUUGAACGCUGGCGGCAUGCCUUACACAUGCAAGUCGAACGGUAACGGGCCUUCGGGUGCCGACGAGUGGCGAACGGGUGAGUAAUACAUCGGAACGUGCCCGAUCGUGGGGGAUAACGAGGCGAAAGCUUUGCUAAUACCGCAUACGAUCUACGGAUGAAAGCAGGGGACCGCAAGGCCUUGCGCGGACGGAGCGGCCGAUGGGAGAUUAGGUAGUUGGUGGGAUAAAAGCUUACCAAGCCGACGAUCUGUAGCUGGUCUGAGAGGAUGAUCAGCCACACUGGGACUGAGACACGGCCCAGACUCCUACGGGAGGCAGCAGUGGGGAAUUUUGGACAAUGGGCGCAAGCCUGAUCCAGCCAUGCCGCGUGCAGGAUGAAGGCCUUCGGGUUGUAAACUGCUUUUGUACGGAACGAAAAGCCUUCUUUUAAUACAGGAGGGUCAUGACGGUACCGUAAGAAUAAGCACCGGCUAACUACGUG
rnacentral:rRNA from 1 species